rnacentral:rRNA from 1 species
UGAGGAAUUUUGCGCAAUGGGAGCAAUCCUGACGCAGCAACGCCGCGUGGGUGAUGAAGGUUUUCGGAUCGUAAAGCUCUGUUGUUAGGGAAGAACAAGUACCGUUCGAAUAGGGCGGUACCUUGACGGUACCUAACCAGAAAGCCACGGCUAACUACGUGCCAGCAGCCGCGGUAAUACGUAGGUGGCAAGCGUUGUCCGGAAUUAUUGGGCGUAAAGGGCUCGCAGGCGGUUUCUUAAGUCUGAUGUGAAAGCCCCCGGCUCAACCGGGGAGGGUCAUUGGAAACUGGGGAACUUGAGUGCAGAAGAGGAGAGUGGAAUUCCACGUGUAGCGGUGAAAUGCGUAGAGAUGUGGAGGAACACCAGUGGCGAAGGCGACUCUCUGGUCUGUAACUGACGCUGAGGAGCGAAAGCGUGGGGAGCGAACA